UACGGGGGGGGCAAGCGUUGUUCGGAAUUACUGGGCGUAAAGGGCUCGUAGGCGGCCAACUAAGUCAGACGUGAAAUCCCCAGGCUCAACCUGGGAACUGCGUCUGAUACUGGUUGGCUUGAAUCCGGGAGAGGGAUGCAGAAUUCCAGGUGUAGCGGUGAAAUGCGUAGAUAUCUGGAGGAAUACCGGUGGCGAAGGCGGCAUCCUGGACCAUUACUGACGCUGAGGCGCGAAAGCUAGGGGAGCAAACGGG
rnacentral:rRNA from 1 species